AAGGGCGCCAUCUACUGAUUAAAAUCUAGAUGAUGGCCACACCUUCAGGGCCCUAUAGGUCCAAUCAAUUACUGACGUACAGAGAGUCUGGCCCUUUAAAAAAGUAAAGACAAAGGGAAGAGAGAUUGAGAUUCAGAUUCGGACAUUCAGAGAGAUCCAGGACAGAUAUUCAGGACACUCUGUGACUAACACUCAACUCUCAUACUCUUUGAC